rnacentral:rRNA from 1 species
UAGUAACGGCGAGUGAAGCGGCAACAGCUCAAAUUUGAAAUCUGGCCCUCGGGUCCGAAUUGUAAUUUGUAGAGGAUGAUUUUGGUGCGGUAUCUUCCGAGUUCCUUGGAACAGGACGCCUUAGAGGGUGAGAGCCCCGUACGGUUGAAUGCCUAGCCUCUGUAAAUCUCCUUCGACGAGUCGAGUAGUUUGGGAAUGCUGCUCUAAAUGGGAGGUAAAUUUCUUCUAAAGCUAAAUAUUGGCCAGAGACCGAUAGCGCACAAGUAGAGUGAUCGAAAGAUGAAAAGCACUUUGAAAAGAGGGUUAAAUAGCACGUGAAAUUGUUGAAAGGGAAGGAUUUGUGACCAGACUUUUUCUGGGCGGAUCAUCCGGGGUUCUCUCCGGUGCACUUUGCCCAGUAAAGGCCAGCAUCGAUUUUCGGCGGCGGAUAAAAGCAGUGGGAAUGUGGCUCCCUACGGGGAGUGUUAUAGCCCAUUGUAUAAUACGCUGCUGGGGAUCGAGGUACGCGCUUCUGCAAGGAUGCGCGAAGAAGGGGGAUCAAUCACCCGUCUUAA